CUACGGGAGGCAGCAGUGGGGAAUAUUGGACAAUGGGCGCAAGCCUGAUCCAGCCAURCCKCGWGGGUGAAGAAGGGCUUCGGGUUGKAAAGCCCUUUUGUUGGGAAAGAAAAGCAGUCGAUUAAUUCUCCYGUUGUUCUGACGGUACCCAAAGAAUAAGCACCGGCUAACUUCGUGCCAGCAGCCGCGGUGAUACGAAGGGUGCAAGCGUUACUCGGAAUUACUGGGCGUAAAGCGUGCGUAGGUGGUUGUUUAAGUCUGUUGUGAAAGCCCUGGGCUCAACCUGGGAAUUGCAGUGGAUACUGGGCGACUAGAGUGUGGUAGAGGGUAGUGGAAUUCCCCGGUGUAGCAGUGAAAUGGGUAGAGAUCGGGAGGAACAUCCAUGGCGAAGGCAGCUACCUG
rnacentral:rRNA from 1 species